rnacentral:lncRNA from 1 species
AGGAUACAACGGGUGUAAAAAUGCAGAGUGAAAUUCUUAACCCUGCGCCCCAGCCCCAACAACAACCUGACCUGAACUAUGCUUCUCUUGACCUGAACGUGGGACAGAUACCCAAGAAGAGGAAGCGUCGCUACCAGCAGGCCCAGGCCCAGGCCCAGGCCCUGCCCGAGUCCCAGAUGGGUGGGGGUUUCCUGGAAAUAGAUGCGGAAAUGGAGGCCUCCCUCCCCUCACGGAGUAGCAGCCCUCUGGCUUCUAGAAACAGCAUCUAUCUCAACAGUCUACAGAUGGC